rnacentral:rRNA from 1 species
UGGGGAAUAUUGGACAAUGGGGGCAACCCUGAUCCAGCAAUGCCGCGUGAGUGAAGAAGGCCUUCGGGUUGUAAAGCUCUUUUGUCAGGGAAGAAACGGUAGUAGCGAAUAACUACUACUAAUGACGGUACCUGGAGAAUAAGCACCGGCUAACUACGUGCCAGCAGCCGCGGUAAUACGUAGGGUGCAAGCGUUAAUCGGAAUUACUGGGCGUAAAGCGUGCGCAGGCGGUUGUGUAAGUCAGAUGUGAAAUCCCCGGGCUCAACCUGGGAAUUGCAUUUGAGACUGCACGGCUAGAGUGUGUCAGAGGGGGGUAGAAUUCCACGUGUAGCAGUGAAAUGCGUAGAUAUGUGGAGGAAUACCGAUGGCGAAGGCAGCCCCCUGGGAUAACACUGACGCUCAUGCACGAAAGCGUGGGGAGCAAACAGGAUUAGAUACCCUGGUAGUCCACGCCCUAAACGAUGUCUACUAGUUGUCGGGUCUUAAUUGACUUGGUAACGCAGCUAACGCGUGAAGUAGACCGCCUGGGGAGUACGGUCGCAAGAUUA